CCGGCACGGGUGAGUAACACGUAUGCAAUCCACCUGUAACAGGGGGAGUAACCCGGAGAAAUCCGGACUAAUACCCAUAAUAUGGGCGCUCCGCAUGGAGAGCCCACUAAAGAGAGCAAUUUUGGUUACAGACGAGCAUGCGCUCCAUUAGCCAGUUGGCGGGGUAACGGCCCACCAAAGCGACGAUGGAUAGGGGUUCUGAGAGGAAGGUCCCCCACAUUGGAACUGAGACACGGUCCAA
rnacentral:rRNA from 1 species